CGGGCUGCGACUCCCGCCGCGCCUGACGCCCAGUCGCCUUGUUCUGUCCCGCAGCUCGGCCGCUACUCCGCCCUGGUCCUCGGUGUGGCCUACGGAGCCAAGCGUUACAGUGAGUGCCGGGGCGGGCGGGCUGGGCGGCUCGGGCGCAGGGCGGAGGGGUCGCAGCUACCCAGCCUCUUCACGCAGCGUUUUUAGGGAGGAGGUUAAUCGAAGCCCCCACCCCUCCAGGUUACCUAAAACCCCGGGCAGAAGAGGAGAGGAGGGUAGCCGCGGAGGAAAAGAAGAGGCAGGAUGAGCUGAAGCGGAUUGAGAGAGAACGGGCCGAAGGUAGGAGCGAGCCUUAAGCUGCCCAUCCCGUUUUUAGUGGAGGGAGGGGUGCCGCCUCUGGCCUGCCCUGUGGGGAGCAGCCCUGGAGAGUAGGCGUGCCGCUGGCCCCAGCGUGCUGAUCCCCGUAGGCUGAGUCAGGUCGAAGGGAGGAGAGGCCAGGAUCCAUUUUAGUGAAGUGCAGUGGGGGUCCUUGGAUUGGAUUCCGGGUUAAAGUCUGAGGUUCUGAAGGGGCCUCCUGGGUUGCCUGAGUGUGUCUUUUCCAACCUUUCAGCCCAAGAUGACAGCAUACUGAAGUGAGGCUCCCCAGCCUGCCUCUCCCCAGCCCAGCAGAUGAAUAAAGCUUCCUCCUCCGUGAUGUUUGGCUCCC
rnacentral:lncRNA from 1 species